UGCAUAUCAGGAGCACAGAUGACAUAUUCUAUUUUUCCAGAUUUGAUUAUGUUUCACAUAUAUCAAUAGCUAAUUAAUUUCCUUCUAAAAGUGAAGAGUUAUCAGAGUGAAGAAGAAUUUUGAAUAGACUUAUCCCAUGUCACCACUGUUGACAUCCUAGACUUCAUACGAUUUGCAAGGCAAUAAAGAUGAUUAUAGCAUCAGUAACAUCAGUAUCUCCCACAAGUCAAACUACUUACAUUGGUUAGGUGUGAUUUAAAGGAAGCAAUGAAUGCCCGAGCUCUCAAAAUCUCCAAAUAUUAUAAUUGCUGUAGCCUGUUUACGAGCCUUCUUCAAAUAUGGUAACACAGACACUUGGCAUGAGAUUGACAGGUUCUGUUAACAGCUGGAGAAAAGAAAAGGAAUUAUCAGCUACUUGGUCAGACCAAUCACAUAAAUACAAGCCUUGCAGCUCUAUCCAAUGGUGUUAUAGCCAUGCCAAGCAAAGGAGGAUUUCCCUCGCUUCUUGGAAGAAGACCCUGAUAAUUAAUUCCCUUCGUAGCCCUUGUAUCCAUGCUUCUUCUCCACUUGAACAUUAUUAACUUUAAUUUUUUAGUCUCUUCUAUUCAAAAGCACCUAAAAUCAGGAUCAGUUUAUUGUAAUAAAAAUGUUUUUACUGCACUGCUGUCACUAUUGUAUUUUGGGGAUACAAUGCUGCCCUUCUCUUAAUUGUGACAGGGCAACUAAUGACUCAUUCAGAAACUGACUGUCUCUCAACUAAGCACUCAGUAACA